UACGAAGGGGGCUAGCGUUGCUCGGAAUUACUGGGCGUAAAGCGCACGUAGGCGGCUCAGUAAGUCGGGUGUGAAAACUCCAGGCUCAACCUGGAGACGCCACCUGAUACUGCUGUGGCUAGAGUCCGGUAGGGGAGCAUGGAAUUCCUGGUGUAGCGGUGAAAUGCGCAGAUAUCAGGAGGAACACCAGUGGCGAAGGCGGUGCUCUGGGCCGGAACUGACGCUGAGGAGCGAAAGCGUGGGGAGCAAACAGG
rnacentral:rRNA from 1 species